AACAAAAAGAAGAAAAGGGGUUAAGGAUAGGGAGACCCAGCAAUUGCUGCUAACAAGGUUUAGAAGAAGAAAAAAAAAACAGAAGAUAAGGAGGAGGAAAGGCAAUAACCAAAGUACACAAGGAGAGUUGGGGAAAAAGCUGGUGUCGCAAAAAGCAAGCUUUUUCCAGCCAAUUUUUGUUUCAAAUUUCAAGGUAGUUGGAGAAGUUGUACGGAUUGCUCGCGCGUUUGGUAUUUCGGCACAAGUAUUAGACAGCAGUUGACGCGAGCGAGGAUUUCGCUAAUUAUAGUACACGAGUUGAUAGUUCCUGGUGAGCCCCGCAAUUUUUCGCGUGGGUGAUGAGUUUAUUUAUUCAUUAUCGUCCUUCCUUAUGAACUCUUAGAGUUGCUCCAUAGUCAUUUUUAUUAGAGUCAUGAGUAUUCAUUCGUUAUAUUGGACUAGUUACUAGUAUUGGACUUCUUUUCGUAUUUUUGAAAUGGGUUUAGUAUUAUUAUGUUGAUAAGGUUGGUAAUGAUGGUAAAAACUCAUUUUUGGUUAGUUGAUGAAGAUUAUGAAUGAUUUAGGUGAAUAUUGGGUUGUUGUGUUGGUAAUUUCUAA